UACAGAGGUCCCAAGCGUUGUUCGGAUUUACUGGGCGUAAAGGGUGCGUAGGUGGCGGGGUAAGUCUGGUGUGAAAGCUCCGAGCUCAACUCGGAAAAGCAUUGGAAACUAUCCCGCUGGAGGGUCGGAGGGGAGACUGGAAUUCUCGGUGUAGCAGUGAAAUGCGUAGAUAUCGAGAGGAACACCAGUGGCGGAGGCGAGUCUCUGGACGACUCCUGACACUGAGGCACGAAAGCUAGGGGAGCAAACAGG
rnacentral:rRNA from 1 species